GAAAUGCGAUAAGUAAUGUGAAUUGCCGAAUUCAGUGAAUCAUCGAAUCUUUGAACGCACAUUGCGCCCGCCAGUAUUCUGGCGGGCAUGCCUGUUCGAGCGUCAUUUCAACCAUCAAGCCCCCGGCUUGUGUUGGGGACCUGCGGCUGCCCGCAGGCCCUGAAAAACAGUGGCGGGCUCGCUGUCACACCGAGCGUAGUAGCAUACAUUCUCGCUCAGGGCGUGCUGCGGGUUCCGGCCGUUAAACGACCUUCAUAACCCAAGGUUGACCUCGGAUCAGGUAGGAAGACCCGCUGAACUUAAGC
rnacentral:misc_RNA from 1 species